rnacentral:ncRNA from 1 species
CGGACUAGAGGAUAGAACAGGUAGCUAUCGCACUGGAGACAUCCGGUGAGAUGCGGGAGUACCACCCCGCCUAGUCGA